CCAGGCCUACGGGAGGCAGCAGUGAGGAAUAUUGGUCAAUGGGCGGGAGCCUGAACCAGCCAAGUCGCGUGAGGGAUGACGGCCCUAUGGGUUGUAAACCUCUUUUGCCGGGGAGCAAAGUGCCGCACGUGUGCGGUUUGGAGAGUACCCGGAGAAAAAGCAUCGGCUAACUCCGUGCCAGCAGCCGCGGUAAUACGGAGGAUGCGAGCGUUAUCCGGAUUUACUGGGUGUAAAGGGAGCGUAGACGGCUGUGCAAGUCUGAAGUGAAAGCCCGUGGCUCAACCGCGGAACUGCUUUGGAAACUG
rnacentral:rRNA from 1 species